rnacentral:rRNA from 1 species
UUUGGCCCCCAAUCAAGCAAGGCUACCCGCUGAACUUAAGCAUAUCAAUAAGCGGAGGAAAAGAAACCAACAGGGAUUGCCCUAGUAACGGCGAGUGAACAGGCAAGAGCUCAGAUUUGAAAGCCUCUCGGGGCAUUGUAUUCUGAAGCCUUGAUUCUGAGAACCGGUACCUAAGUCUUCUGGAAAGGAGCGCCAAGGAGGGUGAUAGCCCCGUACGGUACUGACCUCAUUGUAGAAUCUUGGCGUGGAGUCGAGUUGUUUGGGAAUGCAGCUCAAAUGGGUGGUAUGCUCCAUCUAAAGCUAAAUAUCUGCGAGAGACCGAUAGCGAACAAGUACUGUGAAGGAAAGAUGAAAAGAACUUUGAAAAGAGAGUGAAAAAGUACGUGAAAUUGUUGAAAUGGAAGGAUAGGCCGCUAACCACGUAGAGCCGUGUCUGAGGGGAGGAUAAAAGCUGUAGAAUGUGGCUCUUCGGAGUGUUAUAGCUGCAGUGCAUACUCCCACUCGGGCGCGAGGACCUAAGGCUCUGCUAAAUGGUGGUCUAUCAC